GGUGAUGGAUUGCACCUAAACGGGAGAGGGUCUGCAGUGCUGGGGGAUAGGAUGGCUAGAAGGUUGGAGGAGAUUUUAAACUAGUAGCAGGGGGGGAGGGUCAAAGCAAUCUACAAAAUGGAGAUAGGACAGAAAGGAGAUGGGCUUUAGCACAGUAUAAGGGGGGUGGAAACGGGGGGAGGGGCAAGCUCAGAACAGAGAAGCUGUGUAAUGUUGAAAAUUCACAAAAUAUACAAGUGACGCAUAAUAUUAAAUGUAUGCUUACUAAUGC
rnacentral:lncRNA from 1 species